AUAUUUUUAAGUUGUUUUAGACAUUAUGUUACUUAGUUUUUUAUUUAAUUUUCAAAACUAUUUUAUAAUAACAGUUACAAUCUUUUAUGUUCACAUUUUAAUUUUAAUUAUCCAUUUGUAUUGCUAAAUUGGUGUUAUUAUUUUAAAAAUUAAAUCAUUCUAUAGUAUAGAACUAGUAAAGUUAGUGAUUUUUAUAUUUAGUUUUUAGUAUAUUUAUCAAUAGAUUAUAUAGUAUAAUGGUUAAGUGGAAUGAUGUGUGGUUGGAAAAGUUAAAUAAAAAUCUAGUGAAAAUCUAAUUAUGGGCUGAAAAAAGAAACUCUGAAUAUGCUAUCUGUAAACUAUGCAAAAGUGAUUUAAAAUUCAGUUCAGUUGGUUUCCAAGCACUAUAUCAGUAUUCUUCAAAACCUAAACAUAAGUCAGUGUCUGAUCUAAGAUUUUCAAAAACUGCUUGUCAUUUAUAUGUAGAUUCUAACAAAAACUCGAUUGGGGGAAAAAACGUUAUACAAUUAGAGUUCUCUAUAAAUGAAAAAAUUUCUGCUGCAGAAGCCAUGUGGCUUUUUAAAGUGUCAGAUAAUGAUCUUGCCUUAAGACAUUGUGACAACACACCAAUAUUGUUCCAAAGAAUGUUUCCAGAUAGUAAAAUAAGUCAAUGUUUUACUAUGAGUCGGCAAAAAGCUUCAUAUAUUUUGCAAGAUGGCCUUGGGCCAUUGUUGGAAAAGCGUUUAUGUAAUAGUAUUACGUUAAGUCAAGGUGCAUUCACUUUAAUGUUUGAUGAAACAACUACUUCACAACAAAGAAAACAAAUGGAUCUUUUAUGUCGUUUUUGGUCAGAAGACGAAAACCAAGUUGUUACAAAAUAUUUAACAUCGCUGUUCUUUGGCAGAGCAACAGCAGAAGAUGUCAAAACAAUGCUAGCAGAUUUACGUCAUAAUGAAAGGUUUUAUUUACCAUGGGAUCGUCUUUUUAAUAUUUCAGCAGAUGGUCCUAAUAUUAACAAAGCCAUUUGGAGAUUGUUAAAUGCUGAUCUUCAUAGUAAUGGUUUUAGCAAUUAAUGUUGUCAGUGAGGAUGCUGAGCAGCUUGCAUUUGAUUUACAUAACUGGUUCAAGAAUGCACCCUGUAAAAUAGAAGAUUUUAAAAAAUUAUCAGAUUGCAUUUUUAUUGAAGAUGAAACAUUGUUUCUUCGUUUUGUCAAUACUAGAUGGCUCACUCUUUCUUCUUCACUUAUAAAGGUUCUAUUAAGGUGGGAAGACACCAAGAAAUAUUUUUUGGAAUAUAUUCCAAAACAAAAGGAGUAUAAAAAGACACUGACAAACAAUAAGCGUUAUAUUCGAAUUCAAAGAAGUCUUAGGGAAACUGAAAAUCUAAUUAAAGUUAUUCUUAUUAUUAUUUUUUUUUGAAUUAUUACCUAUAAUAGAGAAUUGAUUAUUUUAGGAGUUACUUGUGUCCAUCAAAUUCCUUAUUGGUUUAGCUCCCUUGUUUGAGAAAUACUUGACAAUAUUUCAAGAUGAAGGACCACUUGUUCAUAUUUUAUUUUAUAAAAUGAAAAAUCUUUUAAUAUCUUUAAUGAAACGUUUCCUUCAACCGACUGCUGUUAAGGGAAAGCUUACUAAAGAUCUUUUAAAAAUUGAUUCUUCUGAUUCAACUAUCCACCUUGAUUUGAAUAAAAUGGACUUUGGCGAGGAAGCUAAAAACCAGGUGAACAAAAUAUCAUGUGAAAAAAAAAGAUUUGUCUUCUUACAGCAAAUGAGAGAUGGAUAUAUAUCUGUUGUAAAACACUUGCAAAAAAAACUUCCACUUGAUUUGCAGAUAUUAAAAGAUAUAACUUGUUUGGGUGCUCAAAUGAGAUCAGAACCUUGGACUGUUAAUGCAAUUGGGCGAAUAGCAGUUAGGAUGCCACAUGUAAUUAUGG